rnacentral:rRNA from 1 species
AUUGAACGCUGGCGGCAGGCCUAACACAUGCAAGUCGAGCGGAUGAAGGGAGCUUGCUCUUGGAUUCAGCGGCGGACGGGUGAGUAAUGCCUAGGAAUCUGCCUGGUAGUGGGGGAUAACGUCCGGAAACGGGCGCUAAUACCGCAUACGUCCUGAGGGAGAAAGUGGGGGAUCUUCGGACCUCACGCUAUCAGAUGAGCCUAGGUCGGAUUAGCUAGUUGGUGGGGUAAAGGCCUACCAAGGCGACGAUCCGUAACUGGUCUGAGAGGAUGAUCAGUCACACUGGAACUGAGACACGGUCCAGACUCCUACGGGAGGCAGCAGUUGGGAAUAUUGGACAAUGGGCGAAAGCCUGAUCCAGCCAUGCCGCGUGUGUGAAGAAGGUCUUCGGAUUGUAAAACACUUUAAGUUGGGAGGAAGGGCAGUAAGUUAAUCCCUUGCUGUUUUGACGUUACCAACAGAAUAAGCACCGGCUAACUUCGUG